GAUGAACGCUGGCGGCGUGCUUAACACAUGCAAGUCGAACGGUGAACGAGGGAGCUUGCUCCCUCCGGAUCAGUGGCGAACGGGUGAGUAACACGUGAGCAAUCUGCCCCGAACUCUGGGAUAAGCGCUGGAAACGGCGUCUAAUACCGGAUACGACGCGCGAAGGCAUCUUCUGCGCGUGGAAAGAAUUUCGGUUCGGGAUGAGCUCGCGGCCUAUCAGCUAGUUGGUGAGGUAACGGCUCACCAAGGCGACGACGGGUAGCCGGCCUGAGAGGGUGACCGGCCACACUGGGACUGAGACACGGCCCAGACUCCUACGGGAGGCAGCAGUGGGGAAUAUUGCACAAUGGGCGCAAGCCUGAUGCAGCAACGCCGCGUGAGGGACGACGGCCUUCGGGUUGUAAACCUCUUUUAGUAGGGAAGAAGCGAAAGUGACGGUACCUGCAGAAAAAGCACCGGCUAACUACGUGCCAGCAGCCGCGGUAACAC
rnacentral:rRNA from 1 species